GGUUAAGCGACUAAGCGUACACGGUGGAUGCCCUGGCAGUCAGAGGCGAUGAAGGACGUGCUAAUCUGCGAUAAGCGCCGGUAAGGUGAUAUGAACCGUUAUAACCGGCGAUUUCCGAAUGGGGAAACCCAGUGUGACUCGUCACACUAUCAUUAACUGAAUCCAUAGGUUAAUGAGGCGAACCGGGGGAACUGAAACAUCUAAGUACCCCGAGGAAAAGAAAUCAACCGAGAUUCCCCCAGUAGCGGCGAGCGAACGGGGAGGAGCCCAGAGCCUGAAUCAGCAUGUGUGUUAGUGGAAG
rnacentral:rRNA from 1 species